GACGAACGCUGGCGGCGUGCUUAACACAUGCAAGUCGAACGGAAAGGCCCUGCUUGCAGGGUACUCGAGUGGCGAACGGGCGAGUAACACGUGGGUGAUCUGCCCUGCACUUCGGGAUAAGCCUGGGAAACUGGGUCUAAUACCGGAUAGGAGCCAUUUUUAGUGUGAUGGUUGGAAAGUUUUUUCGGUGUAGGAUGAGCUCGCGGCCUAUCAGCUUGUUGGUGGGGUAAUGGCCUACCAAGGCGGCGACGGGUAGCCGGCCUGAGAGGGUGGACGGCCACAUUGGGACUGAGAGACGGCCCAGACUCCGACGGGAGGCAGCAGGGGGGAAUAUUGCACAAUGGGCGCAAGCCUGAUGCAGCGACGCCGCGUGGGGGAUGACGGCCUUCGGGUUGUAAACUCCUUUCGCUAGGGACGAAGCUUUUUGUGACGGUACCUAGAUAAGAAGCACCGGCUAACUACGUG
rnacentral:rRNA from 1 species